rnacentral:rRNA from 1 species
GCAAGUCGAACGGAGGAUUUAUUUCGGUAAAUCCUUAGUGGCGAACGGGUGAGUAACGCGUGGGCAACCUGCCCUUCAGAUGGGGACAACAUCCCGAAAGGGGUGCUAAUACCGAAUACGAUCGUUUUCCCGCAUGGGGAUGCGAUGAAAGAUGGCCUCUAUUUAUAAGCUAUCGCUGAAGGAUGGGCCUGCGUCUGAUUAGCUAGUUGGUGGGGUAACGGCCUACCAAGGCGACGAUCCCUAGCUGGUCUGAGAGGAUGAUC